rnacentral:rRNA from 1 species
UACGUAGGGUGCGAGCGUUGCCCGGAUUUAUUGGGCGUAAAGGGCGCGUAGGCGGUUUCUUAAGUUUGGAGUGACAGUGGGUGGCUUAACUACCCAAGGCCUCUGAAAACUGGGGAACUUGAGGACCAGAGAGGGACAUAGAAUUCCGGGUGGAGUGGUGAAAUGCGUAGAUAUCCGGAGGAAUACCAAAGGCGAAGGCAGUGUCCUGGAGGGUGACUGACGCUGAGGCGCGAAAGCUAGGGGAGCGAACAGG